GAUACUGAACUCCACUCUGAGACAGCAGAGGCUUCAUGAGAUUAUCCUUGAAUAUAUAAGCAAUCAGUUGUACCCCAUAAGGAAGCUCCAGACAGGAAAAUUGAAGUACUAGCUGAAAUAUCAUAUGAGCUGUGUUGUGGUCAUUUCUGUGAAAAGACAGAAGCUUGCAAGGAUUCUGAUUGUGAAAACCCCAGAUGUAUGAAUGAGGGCAGUCACCUUGAGAAGUAUCCCUGAAGUCUGGCAAG